UACGAAGGGGGCGAGCGUUGUUCGGAAUUACUGGGCGUAAAGGGCGCGUAGGCGGCGACCCAAGUCAGAUGUGAAAGUCCUGGGCUUAACCUGGGGACUGCAUUUGAUACUGGGGAUCUCGAGUCCGGGAGAGGUGAGUGGAACUCCGAGUGUAGAGGUGAAAUUCGUAGAUAUUCGGAAGAACACCAGUGGCGAAGGCGGCUCACUGGCCCGGUACUGACGCUGAGGUGCGAAAGCGUGGGGAGCGAACAGG
rnacentral:rRNA from 1 species